rnacentral:rRNA from 1 species
UUUCCCUCAGGAUAGCUGGCACUCGCUUGAGCGAGUCUCAUCUGGUAAAGCGAAUGAUUAGAGGCCUUGGGGCCGAAACGACCUCAACCUAUUCUCAAACUUUAAAUGGGUGAGAUCUCUGGCUUGCUCGAACGUUGAAGCCACGAGAUUAAUUUGAUGGAUCAGAGUGCCAAGUGGGCCAAUUUUGGUAAGCAGAACUGGCGCUGUGGGA